rnacentral:rRNA from 1 species
CGAACGGGAUGCUUAGGCAUCUAGUGGCGGACGGGUGAGUAACGCGUGAGAAUCUGGCUCCAGGUCGGGGAUAACAGUUGGAAACGACUGCUAAUACCGGAUGUGCCGAGAGGUGAAAGAUUUAUUGCCUGGAGAUGAGCUCGCGUCUGAUUAGCUAGUUGGUGGUGUAAGGGACCACCAAGGCAUCGAUCAGUAGCUGGUCUGAGAGGAUGAUCAGCCACACUGGGACUGAGACACGGCCCAGACUCCUACGGGAGGCAGCAGUGGGGAAUUUUCCGCAAUGGGCGAAAGCCUGACGGAGCAAUACCGCGUGAGGGAGGAAGGCUCUUGGGUCGUAAACCUCUUUUCUCAAGGAAGAAGAAAGUGACGGUACUUGAGGAAUAAGCAUCGGCUAACUCCGUGCCAGCAGCCGCGGUAAUACGGAGGAUGCAAGCGUUAUCCGGAAUGAUUGGGCGUAAAGGGUCUGCAGGUGGAACUGAAAGUCUGCUGUUAAAGAGUUUGGCUUAACCAAAUAAAAGCGGUGGAAACUACAGAACUAGAGUGUGGUAGGGGCAAAAGGAAUUCCUGGUGUAGCGGUGAAAUGCGUAGAUAUCAGGAAGAACACCGGUGGCGAAAGCGUUUUGCUAGACCAUAACUGACACUGAGGGACGAAAGCUAGGGGAGCGAAUGGGAUUAGAUACCCCAGUAGUCCUAGCCGUAACGAUGGAUACUAGGCGUGGCUUGUAUCGACCCGAGCCGUGCCGGAGCUAACGCGUUAAGUAUCCCGCCUGGGGAGUACGCACGCAAGUGUGAAACUCAAAGGAAUUGACGGGGGCCCGCACAAGCGGUGGAGUAUGUGGUUUAAUUCGAUGCAACGCGAAGAACCUUACCAAGACUUGACAUCCUGCGAAUCCUGGUGAAAGCUGGGAGUGCCUUCGGGAGCGCAGAGACAGGUGGUGCAUGGCUGUCGUCAGCUCGUGUCGUGAGAUGUUGGGUUAAGUCCCGCAACGAGCGCAACCCUCGUUUUUAGUUGCCAGCAUUAAGUUGGGCACUCUAGAGAGACUGCCGGUGACAAACCGGAGGAAGGUGAGGAUGACGUCAAGUCAGCAUGCCCCUUACGUCUUGGGCUACACACGUACUACAAUGCUACGGACAGAGGGCAGCGAGCCAGGGAUGGCAAGCGAAUCCAGAAACCGUAGCUCAGUUCAGAUCGAAGGCUGCAACUCGCCUUCGUGAAGGAGGAAUCGCUAGUAAUUGCAGGUCAGCAUACUGCAGUGAAUUCGUUCCCGGGCCUUGUACACACCGCCCGUCACACCAUGGAAGUUGGUCACGCCCGAAGUCAUUACCCCAACCGAAAGGAGGGGGAUGCCUAAGGUAGGACUGGUGACUGGGGUGAAGUCGUAACAAGGUAGCCGUACCGGAAGGUGUGGCUGGAUCACCUCCUUU